AUUUUUCAAUUAUUAUUUCACUUGGCAUGGCAAACUUAGAAAAUUCAUAAGUUCUUCAAUAUUUGUCCAAAUUUGAUGGGAUUUUUUGUGAAAUGCUCCUCAUGAUCUCUAGUUUAUUAUGGUGAUUUUUCCAGAUUUUUUUUGCACGAGUAGAUUUUAAAAAUGCCUAGGGUUUGUUCAUGUGUAUCCAUUUUGUGUAUGUUUUACCAUUUUGCUUGUGAAAUGAUGAUACUUAAUCCAAUGCCUCUGAAAUUUUUUCUGCUUAAAC
rnacentral:lncRNA from 1 species